rnacentral:tRNA from 6 species
UGGGGAGUCGCCAAGUUGGUUAAGGCACUGGGUUUUGAUCCCAGCAUCCGAAGGUUCGAGUCCUUCCUCCUCAGCCA